rnacentral:rRNA from 1 species
AUUGAACGCUGGCGGCAUGCCUUACACAUGCAAGUCGAACGGCAGCACGGGGCAACCUGGUGGCGAGUGGCGAACGGGUGAGUAAUGCAUCGGAACGUACCUUUCAGUGGGGGAUAACGUAGCGAAAGUUACGCUAAUACCGCAUAUUCUGUGAGCAGGAAAGCAGGGGAUCGCAAGACCUUGCGCUGAUUGAGCGGCCGAUGUCAGAUUAGCUAGUUGGUGAGGUAAAGGCUCACCAAGGCGACGAUCUGUAGCGGGUCUGAGAGGAUGAUCCGCCACACUGGAACGGGGACACGGUCCAGACUCCUACGGGAGGCAGCAGUGGGGAAUUUUGGACAAUGGGGACAACCCUGAUCCAGCCAUGCCGCGUGAGUGAAGAAGGCCUUCGGGUUGUAAAGCUCUUUCGGCCGGGAAGAAAUCGCACGGGCUAAUACCCUGUGUGGAUGACGGUACCGGAAUAAGAAGCACCGGCUAACUACGUGCCAGCAGCCGCCGUAAAAC